rnacentral:rRNA from 1 species
GAUGAACGCUAGCGGCAGGCCUAAUACAUGCAAGUCGGACGGGAUUUGGGAGCUUGCUCCUAAUGAGAGUGGCGCACGGGUGCGUAACACGUAUGUAACCUACCUUAAUCAGGGGGAUAGCCUCUCGAAAGAGAGGUUAACACCGCAUAACAUAUUUUUAUGGCAUCGUAGAAAUAUCAAAUAUUUAUAGGAUUAAGAUGGGCAUGCGGAACAUUAGCUAGUUGGUAAGGUAACGGCUUACCAAGGCUACGAUGUUUAGGGGAUCUGAGAGGAUGACCCCCCACACUGGUACUGAGACACGGACCAGACUCCUACGGGAGGCAGCAGUAAGGAAUAUUGGUCAAUGGGCGCAAGCCUGAACCAGCCAUGCCGCGUGCAGGAAGACGGCCCUAUGGGUUGUAAACUGCUUUUGUACCGGAAUAAACCCUUUUACGUGUAAAAGGCUGAAUGUACGGUAAGAAUAAGGAUCGGCUAACUCCGCGCCAGCCGCCGCCGUAA